rnacentral:lncRNA from 1 species
UUAUCCUGACAGUAAAAGGACUAGCUAGCAGAUGACAGACCAUCGUUUCCACAGCACCGCACUACAACUAUCCCCCCUCCAGAUGAGGCGUCCCGACGAAUUCAACUCGCAGAUACGGGAGCAGAGCUGCGAUACUCCUCAGUUCAGACGUAUCCCCGGAAGCAGAGCCUGCAUACUUCCGUGCCCAGCAGAUGGCGCGGAUCGAACCCGUGACUUGAGGAUAGCUGGUCUCGAUACCACUUAUUGUGCUGCGUUAUCCUGACAGUAAAAGGACUAGC